CGUCUCUGAGACUCCUGCUCUGACAACGACACCAUCAAAGGUUUCAUCUGCUGGUGGAACAAACAGGACCUGAAAUGGGAGCUGGAUGCAGAGCCUCAAACUCCAACUCCUUCAACAUCACAUGCAUCAUCUGCAUGUUAUUGUUCUUCUAUUUCCCAGGAAAUAGAAGCGCCUCUGACACCAAACGGGUAGACCAAACUCCUCCUGCCAUCUUCAAGAGGGAUGGUGAAUCUGUGGACAGUGAAAUCAAAUGUUCACAUGAAAUACAAUACCAUGAUGUAAUUCUGUGGUACAAACAGGACAAACAUGGAGCUCUGAAGUUGCUGGGAUAUCUGAACCUGGGAAACAAAUAUCCUGAAGAAGAUGUGAAGGGGAAAAUCAGCUUUGAUGGAAAUGGUCAAACGCAGUCCAGCCUCACAGUUUCUGACCUGAAACUGAACGACAGUGCCGUGUAUUUCUGUGCUGCUAAACUACACAGUGCUGCAGAUUCCCUCAAAGUCUCUACAAAAACCUCAAUUCAUCUGUUUGACUGUCAGACGAGACCUGCAGACUCCUGA